GGGGCUUCUCCAGCAUAUGGCCUUUGGACUUCAUCUAUACCAUCCGCACUUCUGGGUCUCCAGCCUGCUGGCCCACACUACAGAUUUUGGACUUCCCAGCUUCCAUAAUCAUGUAAGAUGUGACUUGCUCCUCCUUGCCUUCUGCCAUGAUUGUGAGGCCUCCCCAGUCAUGUGGAACUUGACUCAGAGAUGAUUUCCUCUUCAGAAAACAGAAGAAUUUUCUGACACAUUUAUCCAGAUUGGAUGAUAUGGAGAUGAACACCAGGACUAUUUUAGAAACUGCAUGUUGAAGACCACUGAGAUAUAAAACUUAGAAAAAAAAAGGUUCUGAAUCAAUGCCUUGUGAAGACAGUUGCACAGGGUACCACCAGGCUGAAAUCCAGGUGUUCACCAGGACUUUUCUUCACCUGGAGGCCCAGCUGGAGAAGAAUCUGCUUCCAAGCUCCAUCAGACUGUUAGAAAAUUAACUUCCUGUGGCUAUAGGAUUCAUGGCACGUUGCUUCUUCAAAGCCAGCAAUGGAAAGAGUCUUCUGCUCCAAGAAUGACAUGUAGUCACUCAGAAAGGGAUCAUAUGACUAGCUUUCAGUACUGUUACCAUAUGCGAGUGUUCAUGGGAACAGCCAUGCCUGGAUAAACCAGAUAAACUGAGGAAUCAAAAGGCAUAUUCAGACCAAGACUAAAGAGAACCUUCUUCACCUCCUCCAUACUUCUUCAAUAAGACCACUCAGGACACCUUAACUGCCUUGCUGCCUUUCUGGAAGAGAACAAUCCAAUAAUGAGAACAUCCUUGAGGAUCACAGAGUCCAGAGUCCCUAGAGAGAGGGAGAGCAAUCAUGUCUUCUAGACGGCAAGUUACUUACACAUAUGUCUAGAGAAGAACAAUCCAAUAAUGAGAGCAUCCUUGAGGAUCACAGAGUCCAGAGUCCCAGAGAGAGACAACAAUCAUGUCUUGUAGAUAGCGAGUUAAGAGACAUCAGUCGCAACUACUUCAGGCUGACUUGUGAUCAGAGACCACCCAAAAUGACAGCACGUAGAAAGUCCUGUGUGGCCCUGAUUGCACCUAUAGGACCAGGUGUUAGAGAAAUAGCUGGCUUCUAUCCAAGUUAAGUUCAAGUCUGUAGGACAAGGCAUUAGAAAAAUCAUUGGUCUGUAUUUGAGUUAAACUCAAGUCUGCAGGAGGGCUUCCUUUUGAUGCUCUUUGCCCUCAAGGAUAAGAAAUGGAAGGUAUGAACUGUGGGCCUUAUAUGGGACUAUACUUAGAAGGCACUCGGGAAACAGUCAGUGAAGGCAGAAAAGAAGGGGGACUUGUGAAACCAAAUCAAAGAUAAUUUCUCCAUGUUUUGGCUUGGCUGAUUUGGUAUUACUUAGGUGACAAGAGUAGAGAAGGGAAAUCAAAGAGUAGAAAGGGUAAUCAAAAGUGAUAUUCAGAUCCUUGAGAUAUCCAUUAGGCAUCUACAUAGAGAUGACUUACGGGCAGUUGUGCACAUAAAUCUGGACUUCUAGAGAGAGGUCAGAGCUGGAAGCUCUGGGUUAGGAAAAUAAGCAUGCCAAUGUCAUUUAAAGCCCAAGGGCUCGCAAGGUUAGCUAAGGAGAGUAUUCUGAGAGAGAGGAAAGGGGGCUAGAUCAAUCUUGGUCCUAUGCUGGUAUUCUUACAGUUAGGGCUUUAAUGGAGAAAGAACCAGAGAAGAUGCUGAGAAAAAGUCACCAAGAAUCUGGUGUGUAAAAAGGAUAGGGUGGUGUACUGGAAGUCAACAACAACAACAAAAGUGUUUUGAGGCAGAGGGGGUAUUUAUUACAUUUAAUGUGGCUGUAAUGCCAUUAAAUAAAAGAGCAGAAAAGCAACCAUUGAAUUUGGCAAAAUGGAGGGAAUUAUGUCCUUGGUAAGAACAUAUUUAGUAGAGAGGUAGAGGGAAAAACCUAAUGGAAGUUAAUUGAAAGUAGAAUGUGAGAUCAGCAAGUGGAAAAAGGGACUAUGGUCAACUGUUUUAAUAAUGUUUUCAAUGAAUGGGACUCAAAUUUUGAAUGACCAUGAACUUUGCUGUUAGUAGCAUCUUACUGACAUCUUAGAGAUUUGCUGCCAGAGGGGAACAGAACCAAAACGUAGUAAAUUUUCUCAGUUCCAGUUAAAAAAAAAAAAAAGUUGGGAUACCAUCUUGGGUCAAUUAAUCAUAAUCAAGCACUCCAAAAGAAUCUGGAAGCUUCCAGAUAAAUCUAAGGCUGGGAUGGAAGAAAGAGCAUUUCUCAGAUGCGGACUGACAUGAGGGGAAGGGAUGUUUUUGGGUAGAGGAGGAGUGGUGCUGGAUAAAUAAAGCAGAAUAUAAGGACCAGAUAAUUGGUUCACUAAAUGUACGUGACAACUAUGUGAGGCAGAUAGGGGAGUAUUUCACAGUUUAUGCAGGAAGAGACAGGCUCCUGCAGCUCCCCAGUGCAGAGUAUAAAUUCAUACCCAGAUGUAAAGGGCUUCCAAGAGCUUAUACUCAUUUCAAAUAGUUAUAUAAUGUCAUGCAUUGAAAGUCAAUGCUAUAUUUAAACAGCCGUAGAAACAGAAGAAGUGGAUCUUUAGGAGUUAAGCAGUUGUUUUCUGGAAACUCUCCUGUGCCCUAUCAAUGAUGCCACAUGGGUGCUAUUUACUUUGCCCACCCAUGAAGACCACCUGAGGGUCAGGAAUAGGUGACAUUCUUUUCUAGGGAUCUCAGCAGAGUUCUCUUCAUGUAUGCUCUGCUAAAAUUGUUAAACCAUGAAAAGUACUUUUUUGCAUAAAUAAGCUUUUAAAAUCCUAUUUUGCUGUGUUUCUCUUCUAUUAAUUUAAGCAAGCAGCUCAAGAUCUCAUGAACUCAAGAUAGUACAUCUUCUUUACUUGGUCAUGUCUAGACUCAUUUAUAUGCUUUGAGAGGAAAAAGUGAAAAGCAAAUAAUCACUCUUGGUUCUGAUUCAUUAUUAAGUGUCUGUGAAUGUGUGUGUGUGUCUUUUUCUCAGGCAACAAUAUGAUAAUGCCAUAUUUUAUAUAAGAGAAUAAGCCUAUGGUCAUAGAAGUAUUAUUUAAAGAAAAACACACAGUAACAAAAGUGAUUUGGGGUUAUCUGGAGCUACAUUUUAUUUUGUAUGUGAUAUAAUUAUAUGUGGACUUGAUUUUGAUAAUCUAGACUCUCCUGUCUAUAAAACUGCUGAAAUGUCAGGCCCUAUUUUGUAUUUGCCUUGUCCUGGUAGUUUAAGAUAGUGCUGAUUUCUAAGGGUAGCUUGUGGAAGUGAAGAAAUUAUGAGAGUAUCAGAUUUGUUGCUUAGUGUAUGCUCAGCCUCUUAGAUUACACAUUGAGCUAAUCAUUAUAAUUUGUUGUGAGAAAAUAAAUAUUUUUCAACUCCAGUCUGAUUCUUGAAUAAUAGGAUUGGGCAGAUCAAGGCUGGGCCUUUACAGUGACCUGCUGUACAUGUGUGUGGUUAAUCUACAGUCAGCAUCACAUGAAGGCAGUCUAGUGUAGCAAAAGGAAAUGGAGUUUGGAUUCCAACAGUUUGGAGUCAAUUGAGUUACUUCUGCAUCUUACUACUUCUUUGAUUUGUGGUAUAUUAUGGCUUCUUUGGGUCAAGUUUUCUGAUUCUUAAAGCUGCAAUGAUAAUAUGUAGGUUUAAGGAUUUUCAUGAACUUUCAGAAAAUUAUGGUAAAUAGCAGUGCCAGUUCAGCAUAUGGGAGACCCCUGGAAGGAUGUUUCUUUCUUACUAUGCUGGCUUUUUUAUUUUCUGUCUGCUUAUGUCAAAUGGUGAUCAUAGAAGCAUGAACACCAGUGGAAUUAUGGUCAUCCUCGUAAACAGAGCUUUAAGAAAUCAGUAAAGAUUGACAUUACGAGUACACAGCUCUUCUUGUUCAACUUUCCAAAGGAUAAAAAAUUGUCAGCCGGGCGUGGUGGCUCAUGCCUGUAAUCCCAGCACUUUGAGAGGCUGAGGUGGGUGGAUCAUGAGGUCAAGAGAUGGAAACCAUCCUGGUCAACAUGGUGAAACCCCAACUCUACUAAAAAUACAAAAAUUAGCUGGACCUGGUGGCACGCACCUGUAGUCCCAGCUACUCAGGAGGCUGAGGCAGGAUAAUUGCUUGAACCUGGGAGGCAGAUGUUCAGUGUGCGGAGAUCCCUCCACUGCACUCCAGCCUGGGCUACAGAGCGAGACUGUCACGAAAAAAAAACUGUCAAAAUUGUACUAAAACAAACAAAAAUAUAUGAUCUGUAUUUUACCGUGUAUCAUGUCAUAAUAGCAGCACAAUAUAAACAUCAGUAUUUUUUUAAUUAUGAAUAAUUAAUGGCUGCCCUGACCAAAAAGAGUAUGGUCUCUUCAUACAUUGUCUUCAUGCUGUAUCUAAGGGAUAGUGAGUAUUCCCUGUUAUGCUCUAUAUUUGGCUAUACUGAUAUCAUGAGAUUUCACAAUUUCUGCCCUGAAUGUGAAUGGCUUAUAAAAU
ensembl:lncRNA LINC02055 long intergenic non-protein coding RNA 2055